AUUGAACGCUGGCGGCAUGCUUUACACAUGCAAGUCGAACGGUAACAGGCCUUCGGGUGCUGACGAGUGGCGAACGGGUGAGUAAUGCAUCGGAACGUACCCAGAGGUGGGGGAUAACGCAGCGAAAGCUGUGCUAAUACUGCAUGUGAUCUGAGGAUGAAAGCGGGGGACCGAGCAGCAAUGUUUGGCCUCGCGCCUUUGGAGCGGCCGAUGUCGGUUUAGCUAGUUGGUGGGGUAAAGGCCUACCAAGGCGACGAUCCGUAGCUGGUCUGAGAGGACGACCAGCCACACUGGGACUGAGACACGGCCCAGACUCCUACGGGAGGCAGCAGUGGGGAAUUUUGGACAAUGGGCGCAAGCCUGAUCCAGCAAUGCCGCGUGCGGGAAGAAGGCCUUCGGGUUGUAAACCGCUUUUGGCAGGAACGAAACGGUGUCCGCUAAUACCGGGCGCUAAUGACGGUACCUGCAGAAUAAGCACCGGCUAACUACGUG
rnacentral:rRNA from 1 species